rnacentral:rRNA from 1 species
AGUGAACGCUGGCGGUAGGCCUAACACAUGCAAGUCGAACGGCAGCACAGUAAGAGCUUGCUCUUACGGGUGGCGAGUGGCGGACGGGUGAGGAGUACAUCGGAAUCUACUUUUUCGUGGGGGAUAACGUAGGGAAACUUACGCUAAUACCGCAUACGACCUACGGGUGAAAGCAGGGGAACUUCGGACCUUGCGGGAUUGAAUGAGCCGAUGUCGGAUUAGAUAGUUGGCGGGGCAAAGGCCCACCAAGGCGACGAUCCGUAGCUCGUCUGAGGGGAUGGGCAGCCACACUGGAACUGAGACACGCUCCAGAGUCCUACGGGAGGCACCAGUGGGGAAUAUUGGACAAUGGGCGGAAGCCUGAUCCAGCCAUGCCGCGUGGGUAAAGAAGGCCGUCGGGUUGUAAAGCCCUUUUGUUGGGAAAGAAAAGCAGCAGGUUAAUACCCCGCUGUUCUGACGGUACCCAAAGAAUAAGCCCCGGCUAACUUCGUG